CCAUGAAGCUGGAUUCGCUAGUAAUCGCGCAUCAGCCACGGCGCGGUGAAUACGUUCCCGGGCCUUGUACANACCGCCCGUCAAGCCAUGGAAGCCGGGAGUGCCUGAAGUGUGCAACCGCAAGGAGCGCCCUAAGGUAAAACUGGUGACUGGGGCUAAGUCGUAACAAGGUACC
rnacentral:rRNA from 1 species